CAAGUCGAACGCGAAAGUCCCGCAAGGGAUAAGUAGAGUGGCAAACGGGUGAGUAACGCGUGGGUGACCUGCCUUCGAGCGGGGGAUAACGUUUCGAAAGGAACGCUAAUACCGCAUGACAUCCUGCUCUUGAAUGAGUGGAGAUCAAAGCCAGGGAUCGCAAGACCUGGCACUCGAAGAGGGGCCCGCGUCUGAUUAGCUAGUUGGUGAGGUAACGGCUCACCAAGGCAACGAUCAGUAUCCGGCCUGAGAGGGCGGACGGACACACUGGGACUGAGACACGGCCCAGACUCCUACGGGAGGCAGCAGUGGGGAAUUGUUCGCAAUGGGCGCAAGCCUGACGACGCAACGCCGCGUGGAGGAUGAAGAUUUUCGGAUCGUAAACUCCUGUCGAAUGGGACGAAAGAGUUGCGGGUUAACAGCCCGUAGCUGUGACGGUACCGUUAAAGGAAACCCCGGCUAACUCCGUGCCAGCAGCCGCGGUAAUACGGGGGGGGUAAGCGUUGUUCGGAAUUACUGGGCGUAAAGGGCUCGUAGGCGGCCAACUAAGUCAGACGUGAAAUCCCUCAGCUUAACUGGGGAACUGCGUCUGAUACUGGAUGGCUUGGAUUUGGGAGAGGAAUGCGGAAUUCCAGGUGUAGCGGUGAAAUGCGUAGAUAUCUGGAGGAACACCGGUGGCGAAGGCGGCAUUCUGGACCAAUAUUGACGCUGAGGAGCGAAAGCCAGGGGAGCAAACGGGAUUAGAUACCCCGGUAGUCCUGGCCCUAAACGAUGAAUGCUUGGUGUGGCGGGUAUCGAUCCCUGCCGUGCCGAAGCUAACGCAUUAAGCAUUCCGCCUGGGGAGU
rnacentral:rRNA from 1 species